rnacentral:lncRNA from 1 species
AAUGAUUUGAAUUCACAUCCUCUGAUGCCAAAUUGAAUUCUCAUUCCAUUUUUGUCCAUCUGCCCCAUCUAGGCUUGAGACAAUCCGGGCUUGGACCAGAGUGGUGGCAAUGACAGUAGAGAAACAGAAACUCUGAUCCUACGAGAAGAGUGGGCAGGAUCCGGUGUCCCAUUGGACGUAAGCAAUGAAGGAGACACAAUCAAAGGGGAAAAAGCGGACAGAAUUUCCAGCUCUUGCCCUCCUCAGGAGAACGUGGGUAUUGGACGCCAAAGGAGCAAGUCAUGCUUGACACAGGAAGUACGUGGUGAACAGGACCUCUUGACAGCCUUUCCAUUAUCCUCUUCAUCAACAGUCUUGUUGGAUUUCUGUUUUGACCCUGCCAGUGUCCCUGACCUCAUUAUCAUCCUACUGGGAAAAAAGAAGCAAAAAAUAACAAUAACAAAAAAAAAAACUGAAAUAAGCCAGAGAACAAAUCCUAGUCCCCCCUUUCCUCUCCAGAUUUCUUUUGCAUCAGAGAGAACCUUUCUUUGGUUGCUUUAUAGGAUUUGUGCUUUCAGGUAAAUGGCUUUAUUUCCUCCAUCUCUAUCACUCUGUAUGUCUUGGAAUUUCUGUCUUUGGUAAGAUUCUAAGUGAUUUGAAAUCUCUCCCUCAGUCAUAUAAUUUCUAUUUUAGCUAUACGAGAUUGCUAUUUUCUAAUUGAAUGUCCCAACUAUGAAAAAAAAUAUUAUUGAAAUAUUGAUUCCCCAGAGUACAGUUGGGAAUUUGGACACCCAAAUUAUUUUACUAGCAUAUGCUAAUACAAAUCUGAGUCAGAGGUUUUUCCAAAAGCAAUUUGUUGUGUUUCAGUCUUGAGCUUGGUAUAGGAGGUGGCCGAUAGUCAGUUAGCCACACAGAAAACACCACCUUAUAAUGGAAUCUGGUCGCACAGAUGAAGUCUGUGGUCUAGAGCUGCUACAGUGUACAUGUGGAAUGGGUCAGUGGGUACGAAUGAUAGAGACAGCAAGACUUGAAUUCAAAUCCCACUUCAGUGACUUUCUAGCUGUGUGACCCCACAGGAAAGGCAAUCUAUCUCAAUCUCAGUUUCCUCAUCUGGAAAAUGUGGAUAAUAAUAUCCCUUACCUCCCAGAAUUGUUGUGAGGAUGAAAUAAUGUAACCUAUGCUUGGUCAUUUGUAAACUUUAAAGUGGUGUUAUUAAUGCUAGCUAUUAUUGUUAUUUAGCAUAUUGGAGGUUUAAAAAAGACUUUUCCCCAUGAACCCCAAACCCCAUGAACCCCAGUUUGAAACAGAGUCUGCUUGAAGAAAGAGAUAAACCAAAUUGGGGUAUAUGUGUCUAUAGUUUAAUUUCUCCCAAGGUGGCUUGACAUGCAUUGCAUGGGAGUUCAGUCCAAAACUGGGCCCCCCUAAGGGGGCAGUUCAGAACUGACUUGGUUUGGGAUUUUGGGAUACAGCAUUAUAUACCCUUUCAACUGGUGCUCCUAUCAACCCGCCAUCAUUCCAGACCACUCCCAGACUCUAUCUCUCUGGGCAGUAGUGUCAGUCUCCACCCAAGCCUGAGUAGGAUAAAAUCAACCAGGUCUGGGUUGAGUUUGACCAAGAUGAGAAGGUUCAAUGCAAUUUCAUUAACAGAGAUGUUCUUCUGAACAACUUUGGAUAGAAGACUGGCAGGGUGGAACUCUGAGUCUCCAAAACACAGAUUACCAAGAGAAAUCAUUUUUCACAUUUCAUAUGCAGUUUUAAAAAAAAAUUAGUUUCUUGCUUGUUUGUUUUUUUGUUUGUUUGUUUGUUUUUGCAAAGGGCAUCAUCUGUCUCACAGCACAGACUCCCAGAGCAGGUGAUAGGCAGAUAUGGGCAAGAGGUACUCUCACUCCCAUAUAAUAUCGUCCAAACAGACUAGGUUUUGUGACUUAGUUAGGACACCCAUCUCCCAGUUCUGCACCUUGGUCCUAGUGGUUCUUCAGACUUGAGAUGAAACCAACCUAAUUUAUCUUGUAUUUAUUUUGUAUGUAGUUUACAUAGCCAUAAUUAGAAACAGUGUCUCCCCCAUUAGGAUGGAAGCUUCUUGAAGGUAAGAUCCAUUUCAUUUAUCAAUAUGUGCCUACUUGGCUAGGUACCUGGCCCAGAGUAAGCAUUUAAUAAAUGAUGUUUGAUACAUUGGCA